rnacentral:tRNA from 1 species
GCCUGGGUGGCUCAGUCGGUUAAGCGUCCGACUUCAGCUCAGGUCAUGAUCUCGUGGUUCAUGGGUUCGAGCCCCAUAUCGGGCA